rnacentral:lncRNA from 1 species
UCUGCCAAGAAAUAAAGUAGAAACUUGCAUAAAGCAACACCCAGCAUUGUGGCUGUAUUUCCCUAAAAUGAGAUCUAGAAAUCUUGAGUCAUCAUCGUCAUCGUCAUCAUCAUUAAACAGCAACGCCCGGCUGUGUGGUUGUGGAUUGCGGCCAAAAAUGGCAACAUAUUGGCGGGAUGAUAAUCCAGGGAGACGAUUUUAUGGUUGC